ACAACACGGGAAGAGGAGGAGGAGGAGGAGGAAGAGAGAGAAAGACAGAACUAAAAACCCUUGAAGGAUGGCUCUCCAAAAUUCCUGGUGGAACCACGGGGAAUCCCUGGGAGCGCAGGAGAGGAGCUACUUUCUGGAUUUAUCCUGAAUGAGAAGGGGAAUUACUGAAUUAAUGCCCAGGAAGGGAGUGUCCUGUGUUACAUGCUGCUGUCCAGAAGUCCUUCAUAAAUGGCUCUGAUCUGGAGAGUUUAUACUGACUUUUUCCAGUCUGAAUAGGAACCAUCUCCUCUGCUCCACUCACUGGCGCCGGAUCCUGCGACAUCUCUGCAUUUCCACAUUGAGGUAGGAUAACUUUGCCCAGGAGGAAAGGAAUUUGGACAGACUUAAUAUCCAGCCUGUGCAGCUUCCAUGAGCUGGACUCUGAAAUGAAGAGAGAGUUUAUUCAUUCCCAUCCCGACACAGCCCACCAGAAUUAAAAGGCAUUUUAACCUGCCAGGGAG